CAGCAGCCACGGUAAUACGGAGGGAGCUAGCGUUAUUCGGAAUUACUGGGCGUAAAGCGCACGUAGGCGGCCUUGUAAGUUAGAGGUGAAAGCCUGGAGCUCAACUCCAGAAUUGCCUUUAAGACUGCAUCGCUUGAAUCCAGGAGAGGUGAGUGGAAUUCCGAGUGUAGAGGUGAAAUUCGUAGAUAUUCGGAAGAACACCAGUGGCGAAGGCGGCUCACUGGACUGGUAUUGACGCUGAGGUGCGAAAGCGUGGGGAGCAAACGGGAUUAGAUACCCCUGUAGUCCCUGUCUCUUAUAC
rnacentral:rRNA from 1 species